AUUUUUCCUGUAAAGACGAAUGAAUUAAUAUUAUUUUGGGAAUUUCAAAAAGUGUUUACUUUUCUGUUUACAAUUUGUAUGCAUUUCUAUGCUUGUUCUUCUCAACGCAAAACUGUUACCUAAACCGAAAAAAACUAACUGUAAACUAGUGUCGUAAUCUUACAUUCUAUCAUUCUUGUAUGCAUGCAUUGAACUGUAAACAGUUUGUCAGUUCAGUUCCAUGAAAAUUACGAAGAGGCAAGACAGCUCAGUUACAUAAGUAUGUACCGAUGACAGUUUUAUUUCAGUAAUUUUAAAUUUAGUAGUGCGAGUAUUAAAACUGUUGUGUUAUAUAAUAUAAAUAAGUUAAAUAUUAAUUGGUAGAAAACUUAUGCAAAAUGGAUUGGGGAUUCUUAACCUCGCAUCUUAUAGGGCAUCCUGCUGAUCCAAGAGCCUUGGGUCCAUAGAGGAGAGGUUAAAGGCCUCAAGUUGGAGUGCAACAAGAGUUCCUGACGCAGGAUCUGGUGGCGGUGCAAGCCAGGGACUUCGAAGGCAAGGACUUCGUACUGGCUUCAGCCUACUUUUCAGGGGAGGCAUCCACGGCACCCCCGGUAGUGGUGGAAAAGCUGGUGGAGCAUUGCCGGAGACUCAAGCUUCCCCUCAUCAUUGGCUGUGAUGCGAACGCCCACCACCUAGAAUGGGGCAGUACCAAUUGCAACACUAGAGAAAAUGGAACAGUGUUGGUGAUCAGCUGAAAAUGUUUUAGUCUGUUGCAGAGAUAAAGAGAUCUCCAACUCCAGUUGACUGGAUUGGGGAGGUUUUGACGUUUAGCAAUUGGAAACGAGCGAUGGCCAGAUUGAAAUCUUACCAAAAAAAUAUGUAAACGGAGGGAUUUGUCGCAUCGUUCAUGACCUCUUAUAAAAAAUGUA